AUUGAACGCUGGCGGCAGGCUUAACACAUGCAAGUCGAGCGAGCGGCGGACGGGUGUGUCAUGUCUGGGAAACUGCCUGAUGGAGGGGGAUAACUACUGGAAACGGUAGCUAAUACCGCAUACCAUCAGAUGGGCCCAGAUGGGAUUAGCUUGUAGGUGGGGGAAUGGUUCACAUAGGCGACGACCCCUAGCUGGUCUGAGAGGAUGACCAGCAAACUUGGAACGGAGACACGGUCCAGAUUCUGAGGGUGUGCAGCAGUGGGGAAUAUUGCAAAAUGGGCGCAAGCCUGAUGCAGCCCUGCGGCGUGUUGGAAGAAGGCCUUCGGUUUGUAAAGCACUUUCAGCGAGGAGGCGUUACUCGCAGAAGAAGCACCGGCUAACUCCGUGCCAGCAGCCGCGGUAAUAC
rnacentral:rRNA from 1 species